UCUGUUUCACACUCACUUCUUGUGUGACUUGGGCAGGUGUGAGGGCUCAGCUCCAGAGUCCUGCUGAAACCCUUCGCUCCAUUGUGUGGCUCUGCAGACAUCUAGAUUCCUCCACAGCAUCUUCUGCAGUUCUGUAGGUCAGGAGUUACUGGGUUUUCUGCUCAGGUUAUCACAAGGUUGAAAUCAAGGUGUCAGCCAAGCGAACUUUCAUCUGGAGGCUCUAGAAGGGAAAAAAAAAAAUCUGCUCUGAAACUUAUUCUUGUGUUGUCAGAAUCUAGCCCUUCCCGGCUGUCAGCUGGGGGCAAUUCUCAGCUCCUGGAGGCCACUUGCAUUCCUUGCCAUAUUGUACCCUCCAUCUUUCAGCCAGCAUCUGGAUAGCAUGCCAAAUCUUUGUACUUUGAAUUUCUGCCUUUCUUAGUCGCUGACCUCUCAAUCCAGAUUUAAGGGUUCAUGUGAUUUGGUGAGGCUAACACAGAUAACU